GACCCCGAAGAGCAGAUCGGUGUCGUAGACGCGCAGUACUUGGUUCAUCAUGCCGUUCCCACGCUUGAAGGCCAGGGUGAGAAAGAAAAAGGAGGCCGUUUGCAGGUAAAAGCGCGUCAAUAUGAGGAGAUGUUUGCCUUUCGCUCUAGGGUUUCCCGUGCGGACAACGAAGUUGCCAACAGAACAUCAAUACAGAACUAGUUUGAGCGAUUACUUACCAGAGGAUACAAUAUGGAAGUCAAUAAUUAAAAGUUUUGACUUUUUGAAUAGAGAAGUAUAAGA